rnacentral:lncRNA from 10 species
AAAAGAAGCAGGGCUUGAACUUUGAAAAGAAGUCCCUCUGCUCUCACUCCUGCCACCAUGCCUCCCUCACAACUACCAUCUGAUUCCUUUCCUCUCCUUGGGGGCUCAGUAAUCCAGACUCUGGUGACCCAUCUGGAAGGGAGUCCCAGGGCUCCCCAUUUGUAUAAUAAGAUGGGGCUGUCAAUAGCACCUUGAUGUCGGAUGGCGAGGAGGACUCUGUGCAUGAAUGAAGGUAAAGUGCUUUCAGCAGGGCUUUGCGCGCAGUAGACCCUUCAGAAACACGGAGCCCUCUACAGUAUUAGCUAUUUAUGUCCAUCAGCAUGAGAAUGUUGGGGAGUGAGUAUGAGAGUCGGCAUUCUACAGAGGAGGAAACUGGAGCUUGGAAGUCUCAGGUCUCGGGGCUCAUAAAUGUUGGAGCAGGAUGGGCAUGCAGCUCCUGACUCGAGAACAUCUCAGAAUGUUUCCUACUGAAACAUAGAGUUUGGAAAAACUUCCCAUUGCCUGGGACACUCAGGUUCUUUGUAUGCUUUAAGGUAUGUUUCUGAAAAAGUUUCAUAUACAUUAAUUUAUUUCAGAUGCCUCAAUAUAAGGGCAGGAGCAAACUGAAGUUUUCACUGUCCUCCACAAACAGAUAUCAGGGGAAGCUGCUUCCUUUCCAAUCAGGGUUAAUGAACAAACACUCCUUAGAGGAAUGGAAGCAGACUAGAGAGAGAGAGAGAGAAUGGGGAGAAACAAAUAUUGAGUUUGGUCUGGGAAACUGAAUUUACCCCACCCGCUCUUAGCUGGUAACUGAGUUCCUGUACCAGACUUGCCAGUGAUUAGGUAUAUUACUUAACCUCAUGUAGCUUCAGCUAUCCUAUUUCCAGAGUGGGGAUUAUGAGGAUUAGAGAUAAAGCAUAAAAGUCCUUAAUAUUUGGUAAAGGCAAGAUACAUUGUAGCUAACAUGGUAGUCACCAUUACCAUCAUCACCAUCACCACCACAGCACCCCAUCCAUCACCACCACCAUCAUCAUUGUCAUCGCCAUUGGUAUUUUCACCAUUCAAGUUUUUAUAAACGUGCUCUUCCUCAGCCAAUGGGAGGGGUGAUUGCUCUUUGUAUCACCCUUACCUGCACCCGCAUCAUUUCUUCUCCUUUCCUGUGGUUAUUAAAGAUGAAUUAUCUGUGCUUUGAGUGAGGACCAUCCCUACAUGCACUGUAGACCACAUCCUCUCCUUCCUACCAAAGUGGUACACAGAAUAAAUGGCCCCCAGAGAUGUCCACAUCCCAGUCCCCGGAACCUGUGAAUAUGUUACUUUACAUGGAAAAGGGGGCUUUGCAAAUGUGAUUGAAAACUUUCAGAUGGGGAGUUAUUCUGGAUAAUCACAAGGGUCCUUAAAAGAUGGAAGAGGGAAGCAGGAGUUUAGAGUCAGAGAAAGAUUUGAAGAUGCUGUGCUCCUGGACUUGAAGAUGGAAGAAGAAAUGCAGUUGGCCUUCAGAAGCUGGAAAAGGCACAGCUGCUUGAAGAAACCAGGCACUGCAAGAGCUUUGUGACCCCUUGCCAAAUACCAGAAGAAGAUAAGACCUGCCUGGAACUGGUGCAAACUGGAACAAGUGACCCCUAGUUACCUUUAGAUCAUGAACAUAUAAUUAUAAUGCUGAAAUCUCCUCCUCUAAAAGAAAAUCUCUACCAUUUUGUAAACAUGCGGUAUAUGGAGAAUUAUGUUUGGGACUGCACCUGUGUGUCUGGAACUCCACCCUGCAUGCCUACAUCUCUCCUGGCCCGCAUUUAACUCUAAGAUUCCCCUGCCUCCCAACACUCUGGGGGCGGGGAAUAUGCCUUUAGAGCAAGAGCUACCCCUUCUCCAUUCUCUGGCCAUUGAAUAAAACCUGAUUGCUUUUUCUUUCUUUCUUUUUUUUUUUUUUUCCAAUUGGAUGUUCUUUCUUUGCAACCUAUACAAAGUAGGGGAAAAAAAACUCAGUUUACCAGUGACAAAGGAAUGUGUUUAUUUUUUAAUCUUUUCUUGGGAUUUUAAUGACUCUUUUACUUCAGUUUUCAUUUCUUCAAUUUACCUGGUAUCAAAAGGCAGUAUUAUAUUAUUAAAAGGCACCGGAAAUGGCACUAGGCAGAGAUAAGUUAGAAUUCUGUGUUCCCCACUUAUGAGCUGUGUAAUAUUGCUCAGGCUAUUCCAUGUUUCUCAGCCUGAGUACAGUCAUUUGUAAAGCAGUCAUUGUAGUCAAAGUGAUUGGAAAGUAAUAAUACUUACUAUUUGGGGUUGUGAUGUGGAUUAAAGAUAAUGUAUAUAACUUGCCUGACUCUCUGAUUCUGUUUGCUUUGAUACAUUCUUUCCUUUGACAUAUUCUUUCCCACUACUCCUGAGAAUGUCAAAUUUAGAACCAGCACUUCCUGCAGAAUUUUAUUAAUAUGUCUUCACCAAGAGCAGGCAACAUGUAUUUGGUGGCUGGUGCAUGAAACGUGAAAAACUCUCUUUCCUAAAGCAGACAUGUUCAUAAUCUAGUGGGCAUCUGUCAGACGGCUACAGUGUUUGAAAGUGGGAGGAGUUUGGACUUUGGCUCCAAACUUUCUUGGUGCUUCUGCUCAGUUUCCCAUGGGACAAUUUUACUUCCACCAUUUUGGACUCUGAAGCUUGCAAAGAAGCAUCUGGCUGCCAUAUUGUUUUGCCUCUCAUUUCCAAAUUGAGUCUCUCAUGCAACUAAACUCAAUCGUAUUCCAUCAGAGGCAGCAGAGAUUAUUCGAAUCUGCUUGAAGUUUCUGUUGUUUUCUUUUUUACACUCUGAUAUCUUUUUGCCUCCCUCUUCUGUGGAAGUGAUUUUUUCCUGCCCUCUGAGAAGGCUUUCUAGCUCCAAUCAGCUUGUGUUCUGUGUUCCCCAGGAUGCCUCAGAGUUUCAUCCAGAGUUCCUGAUAUGCCACUGAUUUUCUGGAAUUGCCUUUUUUGGUUUUCUUUUUCCCUUCACUCUCUCAUAAUAUAUCCCCUUAGGGUGGUCCCAUGAGAAAGAGUUCUGUCAGGUAUAAGUACCAGGAAUAGCUGAGCUUGCCCUGAAUAUCUGGCUAAAUUUUUAUCUUAUGGGUAUUUCUGGAUUAUAUAGCACUCUUUCAUUGGCUGCCUGGAAGCUCAGAAAGCAUAUUGGACUUUCCCCCAGCAAGUGCACAGAACCCCACAGUAUGCACUAUGUAUAAUGUUAUCCUUGACUUUAUCUUAUUUUUCCCAUAUCGAUUUUCUCACAUUUAUUUUUUAAACUUACUUUCUAUGCAUUUUUUGUUAUACUGCAGCAAGUCUUUGUUAGAAUGUGAUGAUAUAUAUAAGCAUCCAAACUAAGAGACUAGCGCCAUAAAAUCAUUUGCCUGCAGAAGCAAGACAGGCCAGAAAUAAAUGUAGUUCCACAGUGGCUGAGAUAACCUGCAAAGGAGAGAGCAUCAUGCUGGAGAUUUGAGAUGAAUCAGGUCAUCUCUGGGAUGUCACGAAAGUCCAUGAUUGAAGUCAGUAAGACAUUUGUGAUUUCCUGCAACCCUGUGUGUUCCUUCUGGACCCUGAAUUCUAAAUGGGAUGAGUCACAGGACUGACUUCACAUGGCAAUAGCUCUGAUGGAUUUGAGCAGUUGCUUUUCUGGAUCGCACAAUGAUUCAUGAACCUUGGAGAGAGACAUAUAGACCAGUUUCAAGUCUCAGCUCUGUGGUUUAGCACAAUAUUCUGAACCUAAUUGAGAAUUGUAGCCAUGACAUUUGUUGCUUGUCAAAUAUCCAUGUGCUCAUGUACGUGUCACAGUCUACUUCCUUGCAUUGAGGUAGGGAUUGGUUCUUUUGUACUGAAGAAUAGAACAGGUGUGAGGAAACUGUGCUUGACUUUUGCUGCCUGGGUGAUAAGGAAGCUAGGGUCCCAGACGGUGAAUCUACAAGAGGGUGAAGCCUCCAUCUAUCUGGGUCCUUGAGUGAGUGACAGUGCAAAGCCCUCACCAACCCAUGUUGGACAUUACAUGAACAAGGAGUAAACAUCAAUUUUGUGAAAACAGUGAGAUCUUGGGGUUACAUGUUACAGCAACAGAGCCUAGCCCAACCUCACUAAAACAACCCUCAGUAUCCAUGGUAGUAAAAUGAGAAUCAUUAUCAUUCCCUGACUUAUUUCUUUUUUGAAAUUUAGCAGUAAUACGAAUGGAAUCCCUGGCACCACCAUCUCACCUGGAAUAAUAUUGCAGAUGUUAUAAUAAUGAACAUUUUAAAUUAAUUUCUUCAGCAGAGUCUGGAGAUGAGGUUGAAUAGGACAUGGAUGCAGGGCAGUAUAAGAUGGAAAAAAGGUAAUUUUGGGGAUCAGACAGACCUGGGGUUAUAACCCAACCCAACACUUACUAGCUGUGUGAUUUUGUGGAAAGCAUUUAAUCACUCUAAGUCUCUUUCUACAACUGUAAAAUGUGAAUAAUUUUAUUUAACUUGCAGGCUUAUUGUAGAGAUUAAAAGAGCCUGUAAAGGGUCUAGCAAGUACCUUGGCACACAGAUAAUUCCUUUGUUUUUGCUUCCCUGCUUGUUUCCAAUAUACAUUUGGUCUUUGCCUGUUUCCUGGUUUCUUGGCAUACAACUCCUAAAAUAAUUGGAAUCUUCAAUGUGCUGAGUGUCUUUCUGCAUGCGAAUGAGUUGACUGAUGGCUGAAGCCCCUAGGUAGCUUCAGGAUGGGAGCUGGUCACCAGGAAAGACCAAGGCAGGAUUAGAGCGAUGGGAUUUUUUGGUCCACCCCUGAACCUACAGGGAGGGGAGAGGGGCUGAAGGUCAAGUUGAUCGCCAAUGGCCAAUGAUUUUGUCAAUCAUGCCUAUGUAAUGAAGCCUCCAACAAAUCCAAAAGGAUAGACUUAGGAGAGCUUCCAGGUAGUUGAAUGCCUGGAGGUUCCUGGAGGGAUGUGUACCCGGAGGGCAUGGAAGCUCCACGCCCCUUCCCACAUAAUUUGCCCUGUGCGUUUCUUUAUCUGUGUC